rnacentral:misc_RNA from 1 species
UGCCUGCAUCUUCUUAUCCGAAUCAUAGGACGGAGCCUUUUUCAGAAGAUCGAUAGCUUUGUCAUAGUUAUACUGACUGGCC